CUGACUCUGGAAGAGGCAUUGCAGGUGACACAGGCUGCUGUGUCACAUGUGCAUCAGUAAGUGAUGAAGAGGAGAGAGGCUCUGUCUAUGCUCAGUGUUCUGACCUGUAAACAUCUGAAUGAUUAGUAGCCUAACACU